rnacentral:rRNA from 1 species
GACGAACGCUGGCGGCGUGCCUAAUACAUGCAAGUCGAGCGCAGGAAGUCGACGGAACCCUUCGGGGGGAAGUCGACGGAAUGAGCGGCGGACGGGUGAGUAACACGUAAAGAACCUGCCCUCAGGUCUGGGAUAACCACGAGAAAUCGGGGCUAAUACCGGAUGGGUCAUCGGACCGCAUGGUCCGAGGAUGAAAGGCGCUUCGGCGUCGCCUGGGGAUGGCUUUGCGGUGCAUUAGCUAGUUGGUGGGGUAAUGGCCCACCAAGGCGACGAUGCAUAGCCGACCUGAGAGGGUGAUCGGCCAAACUGGGACUGAGACACGGCCCAGACUCCUACGGGAGGCAGCAGUAGGGAAUCUUCCACAAUGGACGAAAGUCUGAUGGAGCAACGCCGCGUGAACGAUGAAGGCCUUCGGGUCGUAAAGUUCUGUUGUAAGGGAAGAACAAGUGCCGCAGGCAAUGGCGGCACCUUGACGGUACCUUGCGAGAAAGCCACGGCUAACUACGUGCCAGCAGCCGCCGUAAGAC